CAUGCUGGGCUUCACUCAAGUACCCUCAUCACAUAUCAAAGCUUACAUGGGAAAGGGUUGAAGAAUUGAAGAUGGAACAUUGUUACAUAGCUGCAGACUAUGCUUCAGAGGUUCAACUAUUUCAGAGGGGGGAUAAAGAAGCUGAAGAUAAAACCAGAUGUUGGCAACUUCCUUGGUCUCCAUCACCAGUCGAAGAGCCUCCAUCAGAAGAAGAAAUUGCUAGAAAGGCAGCUUUGAAGGAGAAACAAAGUCAAAGAUUGCGUGAGAUGGCUGAAGCGAAAAGAUCCUCAAAAAUAAAUGAACUUGAAAAUGAAUUAAAAGGUUUGGAAUUCCUCUUAGAGGAGCUCAAGGACAUUGAGGAGGAGGAUGAAAUUGUGUUGUUCCUUGCGAG
rnacentral:misc_RNA from 1 species